GCGGACUCAUCAUUCCAGCCAAUCAGCAGCAGACCCUCCCUCCCAGAUCCUCUCACCUCCUGGACAGCAUCCAUUUUGAAGCUGCAUUCUUAGUGAGCUGUCCAGAAGGUGGGAGGGUCUGGGAGGGAGGGUCUGCUGCUGAUUGGCUGGAAUGAUGAGUCCG